rnacentral:rRNA from 1 species
GUGCCAGCAGCCGCGGUAAUACGUAGGGGGCAAGCGUUGUCCGGAAUCAUUGGGCGUAAAGCGCACGUAGGCGGCCCGGUAAGUCCGCUCUGAAAGUCAGAGGCUCAACCUCUGGAGGCGAGUGGAUACUGCCGGGCUAGAGUCCGGAAGAGGCGAGUGGAAUUCCUGGUGUAGCGGUGGAAUGCGCAGAUAUCAGGAGGAACACCUAUGGCGAAGGCAGCUCGCUGGGACGGUACUGACGCUGAGGUGCGAAAGCGUGGGGAGCGAACAGGAUUAGAAACCCUCGUAGUCC